rnacentral:lncRNA from 10 species
CAAAUACCUUGUGUCCUUACUUAUAAGUGAGACCUAAAUAAUGUGUAUAUAUGGACGUAGAAUUUAGAAUGAUAUGCAAUGGACACUAGGAAGUGUGAGGGGAUGGGAGGAGGGUGGAUGACUGGGAGUUACUUAAUGGGUACAUUAUUUGGGUGAUGGAUACCCUAAAAACCCUGAUUUCACCACUAUGCAUGCAGUCCAUGUAUAUAAUAAAAUUGCACUUAUACCUCAUACAUUUAUACAAAUUUUUAAAAAGGCAAAUAUAAGCCCAUUUUCUUUUAAAAAAAGUAAAAUAAAAGGUGGAUAUUAUUGUUAGAUGCGAUUAUUGUUAGAUGCUACUUUCUGACUUAUUCCCAGUUCUUAGAUUGGGGGAACUCGAUUUUUGACUCUACAGUUCACAGUUCAACCUUUGGAUUUCUGAAAAAAAAAAAAAAAAAAAAAAAAAAAAAGAAUUGAGAAGCAUUUUGUAGAACAGAUUGGAGUUUAUCUUUAAAUAAUCAAAUUAAGCCUUUGUAAUGGGAACAAGACUAAAUUCAGCUCUCUAAAUUAGCCACAGGAAAGAAACAAGAAGGACAAGUGAUAUUAUUUUAGGUGCUCAGAUAUUUGUAUAGGCUUUGCUUGCUCACAUAAGGAAUUGAGGAGAGUAUAUCAGCACUGAGCUGGUGCUGUAGUCCCAGCUACUGGGGAGACUGAGGUAGGAAGAUCACUGGAGUCCAGAAGUUCUGGGCUGUAGUGUGCUAUCCCUUUUGGGUGUCCACACUGUUUGGCAUCAAUAUACUGACCUCCCAGGAGUGGGGGACUACUAGUUUGCCUAAUGAGGGGUGAAGCAGCCCAGGUCUGAAAUAGAAGAGGUCAAAACUCCCAUGCUGAUCUGUAUAUCAGCAAUGUAUACAGUCUUGAGGAAUCAC